UAAUAGCCUGCUGUCUAGUAUAGCAAUUAUACAGCGAAACUGCGAAUGGCUCAUUAAAUCAGUUAUAGUUUAUUUGAUGGUAAAUGUGUUUUAUAACACUUCACUACAUGGAUAACCGUAGUAAUUCUAGAGCUAAUACAUGCUAAAAGCCCCAACUUUUUGGAAGGGGUGCAUUUAUUAGAUAAAAAAAAACCGAUACAUAUUCCUUUUGGAGUAUGUUCCCUUGAUGAUUCAUGAUAACUUUGCGAAUCGCAUGACCUUGAGUCGGCGAUGAUUCAUUCAAAUUUCUGCCCUAUCAACUUUGGAUUGUAGUGUAGUGGACUACAAUGGUGAUAACGGGUAACGGAGGAUUAGGGUUCGAUUCCGGAGAGGGAGCCUGAGAGAUGGCUACCACUUCCAAGGAAGGCAGCAGGCGCGCAAAUUACCCAAUCUCAAUACGAGGAGGUAGUGACAAUAAAUAACAAUACAGGUCUUGACAAAAGUCUUGUAAUUGGAAUGAGUACAAUUUAAACCCCUUAACGAGGAUCAAUU
rnacentral:rRNA from 1 species